rnacentral:rRNA from 1 species
AACGAACGCUGGCGGCAUGCCUAACACAUGCAAGUCGAACGAGACCUUCGGGUCUAGUGGCGCACGGGUGCGUAACGCGUGGGAACCUGCCCUUAGGUUCGGAAUAACUCCCCGAAAGGGGUGCUAAUACCGGAUAAUGUCUUCGGACCAAAGAUUUAUCGCCUUUGGAUGGGCCCGCGUUGGAUUAGCUAGUUGGUAGGGUAAAAGCCUACCAAGGCGACGAUCCAUAGCUGGUCUGAGAGGAUGAUCAGCCACACUGGGACUGAGACACGGCCCAGACUCCUACGGGAGGCAGCAGUGGGGAAUAUUGGACAAUGGGCGAAAGCCUGAUCGAGCAAUGCCGCGUGAGUGAUGAAGGCCUUAGGGUUGUAAAGCUCUUUUACCCGGGAUGAUAAUGACAGUACCGGGAGAAUAAGCGCCGGCUAACUCCGUG